CCUACGGGAGGCUGCAGUAGGGAAUAUUGCUCAAUGGGGGAAACCCUGAAGCAGCAACGCCGCGUGGAGGAUGAAGGUUUUAGGAUUGUAAACUCCUUUUGUGAGAGAAGAUCAUGACGGUAUCUCACGAAUAAGCACCGGCUAACUCCGUGCCAGCAGACGCGGUCAUACGGAGGGUGCAAGCGUUACUUGGAAUAACUGGGCGUAAAGAGUGCGCAGGCGGGCUGGUAAGUCAGAGGUGAAAUCCCGGAGCUUAACUACGGAACUGCAUUUGAAACUGUGAGUCUAGAGUGUGGGAGAGGGAGGUGGAAUUCUUGGUGUAGGGGUAAAAUCCGUAGAGAUCAAGAGGAAUACUCAUGGCGAAGGCGACCCACUGGAACAUUACUGACGCUCAGGCACGAAAGCGUGGGGAGCAAACAGGAUUAGAUACCCUGGUAGUC
rnacentral:rRNA from 1 species